ACGAACGCUGGCGGCGUGCUUAACACCUGCAAGUCGCACGGAAAGGCCCUGCUUUUGUGGGGUGCUCGAGUGGCGAACGGGUGAGUAACACGUGAGUAACCUGCCCUUGACUUUGGGAUAACUUCAGGAAACUAGGGCUAAUACCGGAUAGGAGCUCCUGCUGCAUGGUGGGGGUUGGAAAGUUUCGGCGGUUGGGGAUGGACUCGCGGCUUAUCAGCUUGUUGGUGGGGUAGUGGCUUACCAAGGCUUUGACGGGUAGCCGGCCUGAGAGGGUGACCGGCCACAUUGGGACUGAGAUACGGCCCAGACUCCUACGGGAGGCAGCAGUGGGGAAUAUUGCACAAUGGGCGGAAGCCUGAUGCAGCAACGCCGCGUGCGGGAUGACGGCCUUCGGGUUGUAAACCGCUUUCGCCUGUGACGAAGCGUGAGUGACGGUAAUGGGUAAAGAAGCACCGGCUAACUACGUG
rnacentral:rRNA from 1 species